UGCGAGCCGGCGUUCUUAAACAGAAUGUAACUCAAAAUGAUCCAAGGCACGGGACAAAGCCUAAUAAAAAAUAACCAGUAGGCUAACUCAGAUACAACUUCGGCACCAGUCUACUGAUGUGUGUUGAGAAAGAUAAGCAUGUUGACAUCAUCUGGGGUCAGACGCGACCGCUACCUGGUGACCGUCAGUCCAGCCGCCAAAAACACCCGCGUUGCCGGGAUACACAGGUACCUCCGCGCUAACUUGGCCAGCCCGGGGAACCUUAUUCCGUUCUUCGUAGAAACCAUCUUACCAUGACGAUGAAGAAGUAGAACACAUACAUCCAGCCCAGCUUGCUCUCAAUCAGGGACACCAGGUACUAGAGGAUGACACAGACAUAAAUUAGUAUAUUGGCUCUAUUGGGAAUGGACUAAAGUGGCAGGACAAGUGUGGCUUGACAAACCUUGACACAACACAGAGAGACACUGACCAUGCUCCUAUACUUCCUGUUCCGUCCACUAUGCCAGUGACAGUAGCCAGAGCCUCCUGAUUGCCCCUCAGAGCCCCCUGUCUCCCCAGGUCAGCAGAUAUGGCAGAGCUGAUCAUAUUAGACGGGCCACCGAUGAAGAAGCCAGUGGUAGCCAACAGCGCUGCGUUUAUCACCCGGUCAUUCGGGCUCCCAUCGCCAGUGCCAGGCUCAUGGCCAACACUGGGGCUCUCUUUCCCAUGCAAUCCGAAAUCAAACCCUGAACGGUCCCUCCUGACGCAAAAAACACAGAGACACAAUGAGAAAAAGACAUCCAACUCUAAGCACGUUUUUUUGUAUGAAGGGGACAGACGAGGAGGAGGAGGAA